GACGAACGCUGGCGGCGUGGAUUAGGCAUGCAAGUCGAGCGACGGACAGUCUUCGGACUGUUACGGAGCGGCGAACGGGUGAGUAACGCGUGAACAACCUGUCCCCACAUUCCGGAUAAUUCACCGAAAGGUGUUGUAAUACGGGCGAGGGUCGUUCCCCGGCAUCGGGGAGUGAAGGAAGGCGUAAGCCGUGCGGGGAGGGGUUCGCGACCUAUCAGGUAGUUGGUGAGGUAAAGGCUCACCAAGCCAACGACGGGUAGCUGGUCUGAGAGGAUGGUCAGCCACAUUGGGACUGAGAACUGCCCAGACUCUACGGGAGGCCGCAGUCGAGAAUCUUGGGCAAUGCACGAAAGUGUGACCCAGCGACGCCGCGUGAAGGAUGAAGGCCCCC
rnacentral:rRNA from 1 species